AUUGAACGCUGGCGGCAUGCUUUACACAUGCAAGUCGAACGGCAGCGCGGGCUUCGGCCUGGCGGCGAGUGGCGAACGGGUGAGUAAUGCAUCGGAACGUGCCCAGUAGUGGGGGAUAGCCCGGCGAAAGCCGGAUUAAUACCGCAUACGACCUGAGGGUGAAAGCGGGGGACCGAAAGGCCUCGCGCUAUUGGAGCGGCCGAUGUCGGAUUAGCUAGUUGGUGGGGUAAAGGCUUACCCAGGCGACGAUCCGUAGCUGGUCGGAGAGGACGACCAGCCACACCGGGACUGAGACACGGCCCCGACUCCGACGGGAGGCAGCAGUGGGGAAUUUUGGACAAUGGGGGCAACCCUGAUCCAGCCAUGCCGCGUGCGGGAAGAAGGCCUUCGGGUUGGAAACCGCUUUUGUUCGGGAAGAAAUCCUCUGGGCUAAUACCCCGGGGGGAUGACGGUACCGGAAGAAUAAGCACCGGCUAACUACGUG
rnacentral:rRNA from 1 species